AUGGAAGAUAGUGAGACCAUAUCUGAUUUCUUCACUAGGGUUACAAAACUAGUGAAUCAAAUCAAGGUAUAUGGAGAAACAUUAACAACAAGAGUUGUUGUUUCGAAAAUCUUGAGAUCUUUGGCUCUUAAAUUCGACCACGUGGUGGUGGCUAUAGAAGAGGGGAAAGACUUGUCGAAAUUUCCAAAGGAAGAGCUUCAAGGGACACUUGAAUCUCAUGAACAAAGAAUGACUGAAAGAGCUGCAGGAAAAUCGAAGAGUGAUGUGGCUUUGCAGGCACAUUUAGGAAAAGAAACCAAAGGCAAAGGAAAAUGGUUCGACAGAGAUAGAUGCAGCUACAACAAAUCGAAUGGUAGAGGAAACCAGAACGAAAGAAAUAUGUCGAAUCAAAGAAGGCCAUACCAAGGCAACCAAAGAGGUGUUGUUGCAAAUAGAGGAAGAGGUGGUGGUCGAAAACCUGACAAGAGUCACAUUCAAUGUUACAAUUGUCAUAAGUAUGGUCACUAUUCG